CCUACGGGAGGCAGCAGUGGGGAAUAUUGCACAAUGGGCGAAACCCUGAUGCAGCGAAGCCGCGUGAGUGAAGAAGUAUCUGGGUAUGGUAAACUCUAUCUGCAAGGAAGAAAAUGCCGGUACGUGACUAAGAAGCCCUGUCUAACCACGUGCCAGCAGCCGCGGUAAUACGUAGGGAGCAAGAGUUAUCCGGAUUUACUGGGCGUAAGGGGGGCGUAUACGGCCAGAUAAGUCAGAAGUGAAAGCCCAGGGCUCAACCCUGGGGCUGCGUUUGAAACUGCCGGGCUGGAGUGCAGGAGAGGUAAGCGGAAUGCCUGGUGUAGCGGUGAAAUGCGUAGAUAUUAGGAAGAACACCAGUGGCGAAGGCGGCUUACUGGACUGUAACUGACGUUGAGGCUCGAAAGCGUGGGGAGCAAACAGGAUUAGAUACCCGAGUAGUC
rnacentral:rRNA from 1 species